CUCUCCAGUGCCAGCAGAUGAAAGGAUAUUCAGUUCAUGCUCUGAGCAGCAUUUUCAUUUCCUCUGGGUCUUGUGGGCUCCUGCGAUUGACCAAGUCACUUUGCAGCCAUGCCCCCUCAUCUUUUGGCAUCUCGGACUCCUACAGAAUAUGCAGAAGAAGGCUAAAAAUGAGAGGAAAAUUCCAAUAUGGAGGACACAAAGCAAUGGAGCAUUUUGAGGAUUGAACUACUUCAUCAUAAUUGUGCAACAUUACUAGAGAAAUCAAGGCCAGAAUCAUCUAAAUCCUCAAAAUCUCCAGUAAUUCAAUAUUAUCACUUUCUUAGAAGAGUGUGAUGUUAUAUACAGGUGCCCCGGCAGGAGAGACAAAGCAACAAGACAACUAGAGUAUUUCCUGGAUCUCCCUGGGUGGCAGAGAUGCUGGAGGUGAAGAAGAACAGGAGAAAGACCUUAGCAGAUCACUUAAACUGUCCAUGAAACUGUGGUCUUAGCUUUUGCUGAGUGUUUAAAAGGCAAAGAUGUGAUUGAACAUGGAAAGAGGAAACAUCAGAGAUUCUCUGUGUGCACUUCCACAAGAAAGUGGAUAUGUAUAUAGGCUUACAGGACCACACGGAAAGCUAAGUCUCUUCAAGAGAAGACUCUUAUGAGAGAAACAGAAUAUACAAUGUGAGAUGGAGGUUUCUUUGGGAAUGAGUGGUAGCUGUGAGCUGCAUUUAGUUCAAGUACCUGUCACUUGUGCGCUGCUGACCAAGUGUACAUCGCCCUCCCCAUUUCAUUUGCUAUCACAAAUUAUUGAAUCCAAGUCCUGCUUCAUUAUCUCUGUGUAAAAAGGUUCAAACUUCCAAUGUCGGGCUUGGGGAGAAUCAAGAAUUUCCACUAACUAUGCAGUUCACCUGCAGACUUAACAAAACAAGUUUGUGUUGUGGGUUUUCUUCUUGUUCCUGUUAAAUUGGCCUUUUGAAGACUAAGGGCUUGUGAGCUUUGCAUGUUAAAGGCUAAACUCUUGUUAUAGUGAAACUGAUUUUUUUAAGGCUUGAGGGAGUUUGAAGGUAAAUUGAAAAGGAGCGCCAUGGAGUCCUUGUGCAAGUCAUUCACCUUGUAGAGCUCUAGGCUGAGAGCGCUCAAAUGCCACUCAACAAGCUGAAAACCAACUCAUUUAAAUAACAAGCACAAACUCCACUUGGGAUCCACACCGAGGCAUUUGUGGAUUGUGCGGCCUGAACUCCCAAACAACAUUAUUUGAAGAAAAAAAGGAGUAAUUCCUUUUUUAAAGUGGUAAUUCAGGGAUCAAGUCUCAAAAGCAUUUGAACAUUUCAAGGACUAUUGCUAUACUAAAUUGUUCUUAACUACAAGUAUUAAAGUUUAAAAGGAACAGACUACUGUUUUCAAAUUCAAAUCAUUAGCUUCAUGUCUCACAAGGAUAAUAAAUCUAUGCAUAUUCUUGUCACUUUAGCAGAAAGUACAAUAUUUGUGCUUUAAAAAUGGAAAGUUAAUUCUUGCUAACAAGUGAUGGAGAAGAUGUCUUGAUGGCUCAGAAAUGAUACACAAGAACAAAACCUAAAAUUCCUAUAUCCAAUACCGAUCUAAUAAAAAUAUUUUGCAGAGUUAACACUCAUAUUUCAUGGACAAAAAAUGCAACUUGAACCACUAAAUAAAAAGAUAUCACAUCUGGCCAGUGAAGUCCAUUGGUUCAGAUCUUUGCUAACUGGAAUGCCAAGUGCUGCUAUAUAUUUGUUCUAUAAUUAUAACUUUCUCAGGUCUUUUAAAAUGCCAUAGUUAGACUUCAGUAGAAGUGUUUGCAGCAGGUUUGGACACCUUCAUAUUUAAAAGGUUUGCCAUUACUAAAAACCAAUGCAUUUUCAACAACAUGAAAGAAUAUUUGCUAAUGUUCACUUUGAAUGAAAAUAUUUAUCCAUAAGACUAUUUAACUUCCUGUUGAAAAUUCAGGUAUUUCACCUGAUCACCAUCAAUUUUGAAGAUUUUUAGUUCCCCCAAAAAAGGCAAGAUGCUAAUUUUUUCUUCUUUAAAAUGAAGAAAAAUACAUACCUUAGAAAGGUACCCUGUGGCGUCUAAGAUGACAAAUUUUACAAAAGUCUCUCUUUGAAGUCAGCUGAGUUCAUAAUUUUAUUGGUUUUAACAGAAUUUUUAUUGAUUCAAAAGUGAUUUUAAAGUCCUUUUUUAGAUCUGAAUGUUAUUCAAAAACUACUCAAAAACUAGAUCAUAUUCAAGAAACAAAAAGUGAGCAAGAUCUCCAGAAAUAUCUUAGUUCCUAUGAUGACUUUUAGAGUAGUUUUGUUAAAUUGAAAUGUCGUUAAGUUAGAACUAGGCACCUCCUUUUUAGCUGUUGUAAAAUGAUGAAUGGUGCAAGAAAUACAUGCAGAUGUAAUGCAAGUGUGUGACUUAAAGCAGAAGCAAUAGGUAGGAACUGAAAUGUCUGUUUUCAAACUCCGAUUCAUCACAGUGUUAUUUUUCUGUAUUAGUUUUUUAAGAUAGUUUUGAGACAAGUCCUACAAUUCGUAUACAAUUAAAGUUCCCAUUCAGGCAAUGGGAACUUUGCCCACUUCCAGGAGUACAAGCUGCAGCACUUGGCCCUAAGAAUUUAAUAUAGCUAUAAUGACUCAUUAUUGAAUGUUUAGUUUAAUAACAACUGCUUAUUAAGUGUAUUAAUCUCAGCUGAUGAAAGCAAAAUCGUUUAGUGAAAAGCUGUUUUUCUUUACAUUAGUGUGCAAUUAUUUAACUGAAAGUUUCAAAGAGACACAUCUAAUUACAGUGCUGCUUUAAAAGUAUUUAAGCAUCAGUUACUAAAAUAUAGUUUGAAAUAUGCUUAUGGACCUCCUGUAGAGUUGUUAAAAAGCAAAAUUCUGGUUUCAGAUUAUUACUUACAAUAGGUUUCCUUUCAAUACUUACCAAUUUCUUACAAAAUCUGCUUAAUGUACAGGAUUGAACUGUCUCCUGUAAAACAGAACAAGAAGGUGCAAGAACUUCUGUGUGUGCAGAAUGUGUAUGUCUGUGGUCAGGCUGAGAUUACUGACUGAAGAUCAAAAUUAGUGAUACACAUUUACAAUUAAGAAUCCCUUUGCUGAAUUGGGAUUUAUGGGGAAAGCAUAUAGUAUCUAUCUAAAAGAAGUCUGCCAGUCAGUUCUCUGUAAUUAGAGAAAUAAAGAAUUUAUCUGCCACAAAACUAAUUCUGCUUGCCAUUUAACAUCUUCAAAUGUUUGUCCUCAAACUACACAUACUUGCCUGUAAGAAAAUAAUGAAAUUAUCUUGAUUGUUUGCUGUUGUUUUAGUCACCUGGGUUUUUUUAGGGAUACUUGUUCCUCCAUCACAUAUUUCCAGCAGUUUAUGGAUGACAGAUAAGCAAUGCGUAUCUCUCCUCAGGAGUCCCUGCCAAGCUCUGUACGCCUGGCACGUAUGAAAAGAACAGAAAAGGUAUCUUUGGUGAGUAAUGUAGCAUGUCAAAAGUCUACUAAAAUUCUGGUUGGUCAAAGACAGAUAAGAUAUUUGGAUAAAAGGAGGCAGAGCCCUGAACAGGCAUAUGGAUGAUAAGAGCCAGGUACUUUUCCAGCAACUUUAUCCUGCAAAGAAAGGGUGAUGCGAUAGAGGUGCUCAUCUGCUGAACCUGAGCAGAGACAGUAGGAGUCUGACAGUUCCCAGCCUCUGAAAAAAUUCUCUGCCCUAUGGCUUAGACACAUAAUAACUGUCCUUGCUGAACUAUUGAAGUACAGGUUUUCAGUCUUUCACACAUGUAAGACAUGAACUGUGCCAUGCUGUGCCAUGAAGGCUCCAGCCAGUCCUUGCCUGGGGCUGGAAAAUUCCAGUGCUGGAGCAGCCAGCCCCAGGGAAGCUCCGUGCUCCUGCCAUGGCUGUGGCUUGUGCAGGGGUGUGCAGGACUCCUGCUGUACUGGAGCUGGUGUGGUGGGAGGGGGUCCUGACCUUGGCAUCUUUUAUAUCUUCAGGAAGAGGAAUUUUCCUGCUUUGAUGUCCCCUCCUGCAGACCCACUCUCCAACCCCUCCACACCCACUCAGGGUACUCAUGGUCAAAUGGGCUCACCCUCCCUUCCUUCCUUCCUUCCUUCCUUCCUUCCUUCCUUCCGAAUU